CACGCACGUGGUGUAGAGCGGCUGCGGAAUGCACGUGUAUGACUGUAUGGAGCGCGCGUCUGUGUGCGUGUGCGUGUGCGUGUGAGUGUGAGCGUGCGUGCAUGUGUGUCUGGGGGCUGGCUCAGCUCUCGGGUUUCACCCACUGUCCUAAAGCAAACACCCCGAGGCAGCCACAGCCGGAAGCCAGUGUUUGGACUGCUUGGGCGCCUCUUCCUUCUGGAUAGCCACGAGGGGCCAGGAGGGGCCUUCCUGCCCACCUGUGCCAGGCACUUCCUCCUCCCUGUCAUCCCAGCCUCCCUCCUUCCCGGGUCCCCAGAAGGAAGGGAAAUGCCAUGGGACAGGUAGACAUCCCGGGCCCUGUGCACCCCAGGGAGCACAACUGGGCAGUCCCCUGGAGCCCAGCAACACCACCUUCAGCAGUGUUCUCCAAGCAGCUCUGUCAUGACAAGGAAUGUCCGCAUGUCCGUGUCACAACAGAGGGGCCGGGGAGGGACAGGGUCAGCUCAUCACUGAGCAGUGGCCCGGCCACCCAGCCAAGCACCUGGCCCCGCACCUGUGAUAACCAGGUUUCCCAGAAGCACAGGCAGGUCACAAAGCUAAGGUCUGGCACGGUGUGCGUGCUGUCCUCACACUUUAUAGAGAUAGAAAAUGCAGGGCAGGGAUGUAGUUCGGUGGUUCUGUCGCCUACCUCGCAAGUGCAAGGUCCUGAGUUCGAUCCCCGGUACCAAAAAAAAAGAAAACGUGUGUAAGUGCCAGACAGAGACGGGGCUGGGGACCUUCUGCACCGUGAGUGUGCAAUAGCGGAAUAAAAGCCAGGAACAAAUGAACACAGGUGAGUGAAUGUGGGGUCCCGACCGGGGCAGGUCCCUUCAUGUCCUCGCAGUUUUGGUCAGGUCGCAGAGGUCAGAAAAGCUGGAAGUGGGCAAACUGAGGCCCACGGUAUGUGACAUUCUGAGCAGUCUGCAUUCCAUGAGGCCGCUUCCCCAGGGCCCCUCUUCCUUCAGAAUUGCCUGAUCCACUCCCAACAUUGCCCCUGGGAGCAGCACCCACCCAUGUCCCCUCGCACCCACUUUUCAAGGCCCUCCUAGAGCCACCCACAUGGCCUGCCCUGGGACAUCGAGGCCCAGGGUGGUGUCACUCCUGCUCCCCAUCCAGGUCCAUGCUGCCCCCAAUAGCUUUGCAGUACCCAGGUCUCUCCUCCUCUCUGCAAAGGCACGAGACAGACGGCCGGUGGGGCUCCACAGUCCCGGCACGGGGUCCUCCUUUCUCAGGCCCUGGUGAUGGGGCGACGGAGGAUGGCGUGUGACGCCCCAGUCAGGCCCCGCCCACCUCCCAGAAGGCCCGGUGCACGCUGGGGCCUGUGCUGCCGACAUGGGCGUCACCCUGUGCCUUGGAGUGACUUCACGGGGGCCAACUGGAGGACGAGUCAGAGGCAGAUUAAUUAAUCAAAGCCGGAACACAUCUGGUCUUGAUGAAUCCUGUGCCGAGGGUAACUGUUCCGGCUCUGGGUGCCCUUGUGUAAGGGAGCAGAAGUUAGGGAUGAGGCCUCGGGCAGAACCUGCUCCUCACUCCGGGACCCAGCAUCUGGACCCAUCUCCUACAGUCAUGCGUGCCCAACAUGGACUGGGCAGGGAUCAGGAGGCCCUGAGCACAGGCAGCUGUGUCCAGGUGGAAUGGGCACUGGCCCCCCGGUGGUGGAGGAUCUUUGUGUCGCAGGAGCAACAGCAGGUGGUGCUUUUGGGUCCUCUGACCCCCAGCCCCAGGGUCUUGCUAAGCUGCCCAGGGAGGACUUGAACUUUCGAUCCUCCUGCCUCAGCCUCCCAAGCAGCUGGGAUCACUGGAGUAUUCACAAGUUUGAGCAAUUAUUCUGUACUAGGAGCAGCAUCAAGAGCUUUUCACAUCGUUGCUUCUUUGAGGAUUGAAAGAGAUCUCUCCAAGGUCUCAUUUCACCGAUGAGAAAAUCCAGACCAAAAGAGGGCAAAAACUGGCAAAGGUCCAUCAGCCCAGAAGUGGAGAAGACAGAGUCUGGAAGCUGGGGAAAAGGAGGGGGCUCUGGCCAGAGGUGUGGCUGGGCCCAUGCGGGUAAACAGGGCCCAGGCCAGGGGAAGUGGCCAGGCCUGAACCAUCCUGCCUGCCUCCCAGCACCACCGGGGGCUGGGCCUUGGCCAUCUGCUGUGCCCCUCACCCUGCAGCCUAAACGUGGGUCCAGUGGGUGGCCAGGCGGGGCGAGCGGUCAGCUGGCCCAGGAGGUGUGGGCACACACAGCUCACCUGCGGCCUUGGCCGUGGUGUGGGGCUGAGUCACAGAGCAAACACUGGGCCAGAGACCCAGCAGUGUCUGUCCCAUGCCCACCGGGGCCCUGCUCUGCGGCCGCUGCGCUGACUUCCUCUCAGUGCUGCAGCAGCGGGUGUCUCUGGCAGUGGCCAAGGGCACAGUGCUAGCUGGACUCGGUGCCCAGCUUCCAGGAAGCUGGCCUGGCUGCAGAUGUCCUGGCUGGAGGUGGCUCCCAGUGCCCCAGUCGGCCGGGCAGGCAGCAGGACACAGAGCACACAGCCCGGAGGCCUGGGUGCCCCGGCCUGGGACCAGGGCGAGCGGUCUCCGUGCUUCCGUCUCCUGUCUGUAAGAUGGGCUUGGCCAUAGGUGCCCUUCUGCCCACUACAGGUGGAUCCUAAAGCACAGAUGCUCAUGCCAGGAGGGCAAUUUAGCAAGUACAGAUGUAUCUGUAGCCAGGUGUAGUAGUGCACGGCUGUAAUCCCAGCACUCGGAGGGCUGAGGCAGGAGGAUCGCUGUGAGUUUGAGGCCAGCCUGGUCUACACAGUGA